rnacentral:rRNA from 1 species
UACGUAGGGGGCAAGCGUUGUCCGGAAUCAUUGGGCGUAAAGAGCUCGUAGGCGGCUUGUCACGUCGACUGUGAAAACCCGGGGCUCAACUUCGGGCCUGCAGUCGAUACGGGCUGGCUUGAGUGCGGUAGGGGAGACUGGAAUUCCUGGUGUAGCGGUGAAAUGCGCAGAUAUCAGGAGGAACACCGGUGGCGAAGGCGGGUCUCUGGGCCGUAACUGACGCUGAGGAGCGAAAGCGUGGGGAGCGAACAGG